rnacentral:tRNA from 1 species
CAGUAAAUAGUUUAUUAAAAUAUUAAUUUUGGAGAUUAAAGAUAAGUUGUACUUUUUACUGA